AAAGCUUUUGUGGUUUUGGAUGGACUCGCGGCCUAUCAGCUUGUUGGUGGGGUAAUGGCCUACCAAGGCGACGACGGGUAGCCGGCCUGAGAGGGUGACCGGCCACACUGGGACUGAGACACGGCCCAGACUCCUACGGGAGGCAGCAGUGGGGAAUAUUGCACAAUGGGCGCAAGCCUGAUGCAGCGACGCCGCGUGAGGGAUGAAGGCCUUCGGGUUGUAAACCUCUUUCAGUAGGGAAGAAGCCGGCCUUUUGGGUUGGUGACGGUACCUGCAGAAGAAGCGCCGGCUAACUACGUGCCAGCAGCCGCGGUAAUACGUAGGGCGCAAGCGUUAUCCGGAAUUAUUGGGCGUAAAGAGCUCGUAGGCGGUUUGUCGCGUCUGCCGUGAAAGUCCGGGGCUUAACUCCGGAUUCUGCGGUGGGUACGGGCAGACUAGAGUGCAGUAGGGGAGACUGGAAUUCCUGGUGUAGCGGUGAAAUGCGCAGAUAUCAGGAGGAACACCGAUGGCGAAGGCAGGUCUCUGGGCUGUAACUGACGCUGAGGAGCGAAAGCAUGGGGAGCGAACAGGAUUAGAUACCCUGGUAGUCCAUGCCGUAAACGUUGGGCACUAGGUGUGGGGGACAUUCCACGUUUUCCGCGCCGUAGCUAACGCAUUAAGUGCCCCGCCUGGGGAGUACGGCCGCAAGGCUAAAACUCAAAGGAAUUGACGGGGGCCCGCACAAGCGGCGGAGCAUGCGGAUUAAUUCGAUGCAACGCGAAGAACCUUACCAAGGCUUGACAUGAACCGGAAUGAUGCAGAGAUGUGUCAGCCACUUGUGGCCGGUUUACAGGUGGUGCAUGGUUGUCGUCAGCUCGUGUCGUGAGAUGUUGGGUUAAGUCCCGCAACGAGCGCAACCCUCGUUCCAUGUUGCCAGCGGGUUAUGCCGGGGACUCAUGGGAGACUGCCGGGGUCAACUCGGAGGAAGGUGGGGACGACGUCAAAUCAUCAUGCCCCUUAUGUCUUGGGCUUCACGCAUGCUACAAUGGCCGGUACAAAGGGUUGCGAUACUGUGAGGUGGAGCUAAUCCCAAAAAGCCGGUCUCAGUUCGGAUUGAGGUCUGCAACUCGACCUCAUGAAGUUGGAGUCGCUAGUAAUCGCAGAUCAGCAACGCUGCGGUGAAUACGUUCCCGGGCCUUGUACACA
rnacentral:rRNA from 1 species